AGUGAACGCUGGCGGUAGGCCUAACACAUGCAAGUCGAACGGCAGCACAGUAAGAGCUUGCUCUUACGGGUGGCGAGUGGCGGACGGGUGAGGAAUACAUCGGAAUCUACUUUUUCGUGGGGGAUAACGUAGGGAAACUUACGCUAAUACCGCAUACGACCUACGGGCGAAAGCAGGGGAUCUUCGGACCUUGCGCGAUUGGAUGAGCCGAUGUCGGAUUAGCUAGUUGGCGGGGUAAAGGCCCACCAAGGCGACGAUCCGUAGCUGGUCUGAGAGGAUGAUCAGCCACACUGGAACUGAGACACGGUCCAGACUCCUACGGGAGGCAGCAGUGGGGAAUAUUGGACAAUGGGCGCAAGCCUGAUCCAGCCAUACCGCGUGGGUGAAGAAGGCCUUCGGGUUGUAAAGCCCUUUUGUUGGGAAAGAAAAGCAGCAGGUUAAUACCCCGCUGUUCUGACGGUACCCAAAGAAUAAGCACCGGCUAACUUCGUG
rnacentral:rRNA from 1 species